rnacentral:rRNA from 1 species
UACGUAGGGGGCUAGCGUUGUCCGGAAUCAUUGGGCGUAAAGAGCGUGUAGGCGGUCCGGUAAGUCCGCUGUAAAAGUCAAAGGCUCAACCUUUGAAUGUCAGUGGAUACUGCCGGGCUAGAGUCCGGAAGAGGCGAGUGGAACUCCUGGUGUAGCGGUGGAAUGCGCAGAUACCAGGAAGAACACCAACGGCGAAGGCAGCUCGCUAGGACGGUACUGACGCUGAGACGCGAAAGCGUGGGGAGCGAACAGG